rnacentral:rRNA from 1 species
UACGAACCGUGCAAACGUUAUUCGGAAUCACUGGGCAUAAAGGGCGCGUAGGCGGCUUUCUAAGUCAGGGGUGAAAUCCGGCAGCUCAACUGUCGCAGUGCCUUUGAUACUGGAGAGCUCGAGGGAGGUAGGGGUCUGUGGAACUUCCGGUGGAGCGGUGAAAUGCGUUGAUAUCGGAAGGAACGCCGGUGGCGAAAGCGACGGACUGGAUCUCUUCUGACGCUGAGGCGCGAAAGCCAGGGGAGCAAACGGG